AACCUCCGCAAUGUGAGAAAUCGCGACGGGGGGAUCCCAAGUGCCAUUCUUAACGGGAUGGCUUUUCAUUAGUGUAAAGAGCUUUUGGAAUAAGGGCUGGGCAAGACCGGUGCCAGCCGCCGCGGUAACACCGGCAGCUCUAGUGGUAGCAGUUUUUAUUGGGCCUAAAGCGUCCGUAGCCGGUUUAAUAAGUCUCUGGUGAAAUCCUGUAGCUUAACUGUGGGAAUAGCUGGAGAUACUAUUAGACUUGAGACCGGGAGAGGUUAGAGGUACUCCCAGGGUAGAGGUGAAAUUCUGUAAUCCUGGGAGGACCGCCUGUUGCGAAGGCGUCUAACUGGAACGGUUCUGACGGUGAGGGACGAAAGUUAGGGGCGCGAACCGGAUUAGAUACCCGGGUAGUCCUAACUGUAAACGAUGCGGACUUGGUGUUGGGAUGGCUUUGAGCUGCUCCAGUGCCGAAGGGAAGCUGUUAAGUCCGCCGCCUGGGAAGUACGGUCGCAAGACUGAAACUUAAAGGAAUU
rnacentral:rRNA from 1 species